rnacentral:rRNA from 1 species
GACGAAGGGGGCUAGCGUUGUUCGGAAUUACUGGGCGUAAAGCGAGUGUAGGUGGUUGUCCAAGUUGGAUGUGAAAGCCUUGAGCUCAACUCAAGAAAUGCAUUCAGGACUGGGCGGCUAGAGGACCGGAGAGGAUAGUGGAAUUCCCAGUGUAGUGGUGAAAUACGUAGAGAUUGGGAAGAACACCAGUGGCGAAGGCGGCUAGCUGGACGGUAACUGACACUAAGACCCGAAAGCGUGGGGAGCAAACAGG